rnacentral:lncRNA from 1 species
AUCAUUCUAGUACAUUUAUUUUAAUUUUUCAAGCAUUUUUGCGUCCGACUUUUAUUCGUUUUAAGUUAAUUUAUUUUUAUUUUUUAAUCAAAAUAUUCAUAAAAUAUAAGUAGAAUUUAAAAUAUUUUCAUUUUUAUUUUAUUUUAUUUAUUUGAAAUUAUUUUUAUUUUCUCCAUUCUAAUUUAUUUAAAUCACUUUUAAAUAAUCAAAACUUUUGUUUUUUAAAAUUA